rnacentral:rRNA from 1 species
UACGAAGGGGGGCUAGCGUUGCUCGGAAUCACUGGGCGUAAAGGGUGCGUAGGCGGGUUUUUAAGUCAGGGGUGAAAUCCUGGAGCUCAACUCCAGAACUGCCUUUGAUACUGAAGAUCUUGAGUCCGGGAGAGGUGAGUGGAACUGCGAGUGUAGAGGUGAAAUUCGUAGAUAUUCGCAAGAACACCAGUGGCGAAGGCGGCUCACUGGCCCGGUACUGACGCUGAGGCACGAAAGCGUGGGGAGCAAACAGGAGUUAG